rnacentral:snRNA from 1 species
AUAGGCCCACGGUAUACCGCGAG